rnacentral:rRNA from 1 species
CGGAGAAAGAGCCUGANAAACUNCUACCACAUCCAAGGAAGGCAACAAGCNCGUAAAUUACCCAAUCCUGAUACAGGGAGGUAGUGACAAUAAAUAACAAUGCCGGGCCAUCAUUGGUCUGGCAAUUGGAAUGAGAACAAUUUAAAUCCCUUAUCGAGGAUCAAUUGGAGGGCAAGUCUGGUGCCAGCAGCCGCGGUAAUUCCAGCUCCAAUAGCGUAUAUUAAAGUUGUUGCAGUUAAAAAGCUCGUACUUGGAUUUGUGGCGUACGGUGUGUUCCGGGCACUUGUUGUCUGAGUAACCUGCCGUUGCCAUCCUUGGGUGGAACCUGUGUGGCAUUAGGUUGUCCSUGCARRGGGAUGCCCAUCAUUUACUGUGAAAAAAUUAKAAGUGUUCAAAGCAGGCUUAUGCCGUUGAAUAUAUUA